AAACUCUUUCAAACGGGCGCUUCCUGACUUGAGAUUACUCGUCGUGCGACGACGUUCCUUUACAAAAUUUAAUAUACUUAUAUUAGGCUUUAAGAAACUAUUUAUCUUGCAUGUAUGCAUGCCUAAGCGUGUGCUUAUUAUUUUACUUCUUGCUAAAACAUUCAUUAAAUCAGCGAUUUAAUUUAUUCUGAGUCUGGCCGAUCUGUCCGGGUAUAAUAAAUUCCUGACUUAUUUUCUUUAAGUAUCUUGAAAUACUUACUUGGACUAAUAAAAGUCCGCUUUAAUUAUUUAUUGGAUUAAGGUAUCAUAACGGCUAAUAUUUUCAUGGCUCAAGAGGUUAAAUUCGGAUCUUGUGGCUCGAUAUAAAACCAACCGGCCCGAACUAGUUAUCUUGCUCACACAAGUCCAUCCCAUAAAUAAAUUAGGAGCCCAACUAACAACUCAUACUCCUUUCCAUCGGUCCCUUCACAAAAAAAAGGUGGCCCAACUUUAUUUAAUUCCUAGGCCCAAAUGAAUGAAGAAUUUGGCCCUAUUACUAAAUGCAUACUCCUUCACCUUCUGCCUACUCUCUCUCUUUUCACAAUUUCCCCCAAAUUGAAGAAACGGCUGGGAACGGGAAGCCCUAGCCUCCUUCUUCUUCCUUUCGUCGGCACUGUAGGAACGACCCAUCACCACCAGAACACGCCGCCGCUCACCGGCGUCAACCCUCGCUCCUGGAAACGACGCGACGUCGCCGACCUCUGCCUCGGAUUCGGCGAGUCGCUGCCGUUGCAUGUCCGCGGUGGUGGAGACGCGGCUCAUGCCGCCAUCGUCGCUUCUCAGGUCGGGGAGUCCUUUGCCUCCCGAGUCACUGCGUCGCGGCCCGUCUGUCGGCUCACGAUUCGGCACUAUGAGGUUCGUCGCGGUCGAAGGACAACGUCGAGGGAGCGCCUCGUCGUCACUGCCCUGCCGUCACCCUCCGCCUGCCGCCUCCCCUGUUUUCUCGGCGUUGUGGACGCGGAGGGGUGGGCGUCGUUUUCUUGGUGGGACCGCCGUCACCAGCGACUACGCGUUUCAUUCCUGGCAGCUCGGCGUCUCGGACAAGAGCCAAUUUCCGUCCAAGCUAAGUCCCUUGUUAAAUUCUUUCUAGAGUAGUUAUUGGAAAAGAUUGAGGAAUUUCUAUUACACUGUGCUUGAGCAUUAGGGAACCGUUUUUCUUAAUUGUGGCUUAUUCGAUUUCAUGGAGGGGUUGAGCCUGUGGUAGUUGCUCCUAUGUUCUUGAGCUUUUGUGUUCCUAAGUUCUCAAGUCCUAGUUAUAUGCUUGUCUAUAUGAUGCAUAUACUUUGGUUAACUGAGUUUGAAGGGAAAAGGUUACCUUCAUUGAACUUGUGCUGCUCUUGCUUACUUCUGGCCUUGCUCUCCCUUGCUGCCUCGGUUCUUCCCUCUCUUUGACUCACUGUGUUGCUAUUUCCUUGUGGCAAUGAGGGAGGGCAGAGGCUGAGGCCCUUUUAAACUUGUGGCCUAACUGAAAGCCUGAAAAAGGCUAGUGUACUUGGUUGGAAGGUAGUCUUUGAUGGACUGGAUUGGCUGUUUCCUCUGCAGCAAAAUUGCAGGGUGUACUCGUGAGUUGUACGAGCCUUUGGCUCCUGGCUAUACUCUGAUGCCAUAACCGAAUUUGGUGCUUUGGGCUGCCUUGUACCCUAGCUCAUUAAUGGGUUUUGUUUUCCUUUUGCAGGUGCACAACAAUAGCAGACAUUUGAGUGGCUGAUCUCUGGACUAUGGCAGGUAGAAAUGCAGUACAAGCUGCAGGGAUUCAGCCUUGCAUAGUGCAGCCACUGAGGUGUAGAUUCUCUUGGCUGGACUUGCUCUUUUCGACCAAACCUUACUCUUUUCUUUAGAAAGGGGCUAAGGCUGUGGUGCCGAGGCUGCCUCUCCUCGUGGCCUCGCCCUCUCGGGCUUGUCUAAAAAUCCGGGGCCGAGACGGCCCGGUGACGAAGGCCAAAGUAGUUGUUAGGGAUUUCCAAAUGUAAUAGUGUAGCUCGACUUUUAUUUCUCGUCGUCAAAGAUUGAAAUUUUAGAUUGAUUCCGAAAAAUUGUAACUGUGCCCUUUUCCAAGAAAUAAAAAUAUUCAUUCAUACUUUGAUUAAA